rnacentral:tRNA from 1 species
UCCUGGGUGGCUCAGUCGGUUAAGCCUCUGAUUUCGGCUCAGGUCAUGAUCUCAGGUUCGUGGGUUCGAGCCCCACACCGGGCU